rnacentral:rRNA from 1 species
UACGUAGGGGGCAAGCGUUGUCCGGAAUUAUUGGGCGUAAAGCGCGCGCAGGCGGUUCGUUAAGUCUGGUGUUUAAUCCCGGGGCUCAACCCCCGGGUCGCACUGGAAACUGGUGGACUUGAGUACAGAAGAGGAAAGUGGAAUUCCACGUGUAGCGGUGAAUGACGUAGAGAUGUGGAGGAACACCAGUGGCGAAGGCGACUUUCUGGUCUGUAACUGACGCUGAGGCGCGAAAGCGUGGGGAGCAAACAGG